GUGAAUCAUCGAAUUUUUGAAUGCAAAUUGCACUCUCUGGUAUUCCGGAGAGUAUGCCUGUUUGAGGGUCAGUUUCAAUAAAAAUCGGUGUUGUUUCUGCCUUUCGUUGUGACGCACCGGAUUUCGUUCGUCUUGCUCUCGGUUAAGUGACCUAAAAUUUUUCAUGUUUUUUUUCGCACGUAUUUAAAUUAUUUUACUUACGUUUUCGAUAUCGAAUACUAGGUUUUGUUCUCAUCAUGAUUCACUACUAUAAUUUUUCUUCAAAAUGACCUCAAAUCAGGUACUAGUACCCGCUGAACUU
rnacentral:misc_RNA from 1 species